rnacentral:pre_miRNA from 1 species
AUUGUACUCCCUCCGUUCGGAAUUACUUGUCGAAGAAAUGGAUGUAUCUAGACAUAUUUUAGUUCUAGAUGCAUCCAUUUUUGAGACAAGUAAUUCCGAACGGAGGGAGUAUAUG